rnacentral:rRNA from 1 species
AUUGAACGCUGGCGGCAGGCCUAACACAUGCAAGUCGAGCGGAAGCAGGGAGCUUCCUCCUGCAUUCAGCGGCGGACGGGUGAGUAAUGCCUAGGAAUCUGCCAGGUAGUGGGGGAUAACGUCCAGAAACGGACGCUAAUACCGCAUACGCCCUGAGGGACAAAGUGGGGGAUGUUCGGCCCUCACGCUCUCAGCUGAGCCUAGGUCGGAUUAGCUAGUUGGUGGGGUAAGGGCCUACCAAGGCGACGAUCCGUAACUGGUCUGAGAGGAUGAUCAGCCACACUGGAACUGAGACACGGUCCAGACUCCUACGGGAGGCAGCAGUGGGGAAUAUUGGACAAUGGGCGAAAGCCUGAUGCAGCCAUGCCGCGUGUGUGAAGAAGGUCUUCGGAUUGUAAAGCACUUUAAGUUGGGAGGAAGGGCAGUAAGUUAAUACCUUGCUGUUUUGACGUUACCAACAGAAUAAGCACCGGCUAACUUCGUG